AUGGUAGCGAUGGCGGCUGGGUCGAGUGGAUUGCUCCUGCCGGCGUUUGGGCUGCGAUUGCUCUUGGCUGCUGUACUUCAGACGGUGUCUGCAUUUGGGGCAGAGUUUUCAUCAGAGACUUGCAGAGAGAUAGGCUUCUCCAGCAACUUGCUCUGCAGCUCUUGUGAUCUUCUUGGACAGUUUAACCUGCUUCAGCUCGAUCCUGACUGUAGAGCAUGCUGUCAGGAAGAAGCACAAUUUGAAACAAAAAAGCUUUAUGCAGGUGCUAUUCUUGAAGUUUGUGGAUGAAAAUUGGGGAGGUUCCCUCAAGUCCAAGCUUUUGUCAGGAGUGAUAAACCCAAACUAUUCAGAGGACUACAAAUCAAGUAUGUUCGUGGUUCAGAUCCUGUAUUAAAGCUUUUGGAUGACAACGGGAACAUUGCUGAAGAAUUAAGCAUCCUCAAAUGGAACACAGACAGUGUAGAAGAAUUCCUUAGUGAAAAGUUGGAACGCAUAUAAAUCUUGCUUCAAUUUUGUCCUAUCCUUUUGUUACUUUAUCAAAUGAAAUAUUACAGUACCUAGAGAAUAUUUUAGAGUUUUGCCUCCUUCCUUUGAUCAUUCUUUCUGUGAGGCAUUAAACAGCUCAUUAACAGUUGAAGUGGCAGCACAGCCCAUGGUAUCUGAGGAGUUGGCAAGCUUAACAGAACCCAGUUUUCAUAAAUUUCCAUCCUUCCAUAUUUGUUGAUACCACUAACGAAAUGCUUUGUAAUAGUUGGCUAAUUAUGCAAAUGAUAGUUUGUAAUAAUUGGUCCAGUUUUAGGAGCAGCAGAUGUUUAGAGUAAGGCAGGUGAUAAGGGAGAUGCCUACUGUGCCUCAUGCAUGUGCUGUAUGCUCUUUGAAAACAACAGCAAAAACCACAAAGCAAGUAAGAGCCACUGAGCCUCAACAGAUUGCCUGCUGCUUGUUUUUCCAGCUUUCCUUUUAAUAGAAAUGUUAUAGUUCAUAAUGUGUUGCAUUAAAACUUUAUGGCUUCAUUAUUGUAAAACAGAUUCAAGAUCUACAGUAAGAAUGAAACAUUCAGAGAUUUGCAUUAAUGAAGACUACACAGAAAACCUUCAGGAGGAUUUGUGUGGUUCUGAUAUUUAGCAAAUUUUUGUGCUUCAUGCUCUUACAGAAAAAUAAAAAAUCAUUUAAGACCAAAAUAUAAAUAAA